UCGACCUCAUGACCCGCCUGCCUCAGCCUCCCAAAGUGUUGGGAUUACAGGCGUGAGCCACCGUGCCCGGCCUAUCGUCAGUGAUUUUAAGGGGAAAAGGCCAUUGAGUUGGGGAUACGAUUAGUUUGAAUGAGUGAGAGCUAAUCAGAUGAUUUGCUACCACUUCUGUGUAUCAGAUGUUCCCUGUUUAGGAAUGACUUCCAGGACCCAGGACUACUCCCAUUGUCCACUUCCUGACUCACCCAGGGGCAUGGUGACAGGGGUGUGUCUCUGCGUGUAUGUAGAGGAACAUGAACAGUAGAGGGGAACCCCAGAUCUGUAGCAUGUGGAGUUCAAAGCUACUCUGGAGACUUCUCCCAAUUAUCUGACAUGUAAAAUUGUUAGCAGAGUCGAUUCUCAUCAGCAAACGUCUCUCUUGUCAGGAGCAUGCUUAAUGUGGCCUAUAUACUUUUAAGCACAUCAUGCAUUGUUUUCUUUUUCAAUGGCAAUUCCAAAAAAUACAAUUCACUGUAGCUGUUGUAUCUUUAGGGCAGAAAUCAAUAGUAGUGCUGUAUCUCAUGAGUAUAUCUAUGCAUGAAGUGGCAUAUUCUACACAUUCCAACUAUCGAUAAUGAAACAUUUCUAUCAACCUUGCUAGGGGAAAGGCUGAAUUAUCUUUUAUAAAAUCGUAGCCAGAUGAAGAGUCAAUCAGAGCCCCAAAGUACAGGAUAAAAGUAUUGUGGACGUAUAUUGGUUGAUAAAAACAUGAAAUGAUUUUUCUGUAUUGUUUACUGUUUUUGCGGUACUUUCCAGCUCUUCAUUAUUUGUAAUUUGCCGUGAAGUCUUUACAUUCUGAACAUCAGUUUUAUACCUAAUUUCAUAUUUGUAAUUGUAUAUCCUUCUUUUCUUAAGAAAAAUACUCCAGAUUGUCUAAGAUUUAGGCCCACAAAACCUGAAUCGAUUCUUGAUGGAGUAAUUAAGUAACAGCUGAAAUCACAGCCACUAAAUGGCCAAGCCGGGAUUUGAAGCCGGAAUUCAAACGUGGGCCUCAAAAGGGCGUCUUGGACUCUAAUCCGUGCCCCUGGAGUCAGGAUCUUGUUAAAGUUCAGACUCUGACUCAGUAGAUGUGGGCUGGUGCUCAGGUGCUGUGAGGGUGCUACUCUGUGGGCCACACUCCGAGGAGCCGGGGUCUCUCAGCUAAUGUGCUCUGUGGCUAGUUCUCAGACAGUGCAAGGAACCAUUGCCAUUCAGGGAGGUUGUGGGACUUGCCCAGAGUAGCAGAGUCAGAGACUCACAGCUCCAUCGCGCAUCUUACAUGGUGGCAGGUGGGCUAAGUGGGGAAUCCCAGGAGUCAGCUCUGGGUCCCCAAGAGAAAUGUCCCUUCCAGCCCCCUACACCUCAGGUGGGAGCUGCCUGUCCCCUGUUCCCUGGGAUUGGCCUGAGAUGCUGCAAUCAGUCUCCAGGCCUGCAAGGUGAGCAGGAGAGCACCGGCGUUUCCAGUGCGACAGACGUACCUGGCUGACCUCUACUUCUCUGGCUUUCUCCACCUUGGUGACAGUGCUGCUCAGCCCCGCUAAGCGUCAGUUUCCCAGUGCAUGAAACGAGCUUAAUAUGACCCACCUCAUCGAGUUAUUCAUGGAUUAAAUGAGUUAUUCAUGGAUAAUAUGACAAGUUACACGAUCCGACUCUGCGUGCAUUGGCCCACAGCACCCAUGGAACUGGUGAUUGUUGUUCCUGGGCUAAACUGACCUUGGGAAUCAAGUGACUGCUUCUUGCAGCAUGUACUCUCAGCUUCCUUUUUUCUCAAUGUGUGGGAAGAAGAGACUGUGUUAGAAUAGAAGGACAUCGGCAAACAUCUCACACCCUGCAGAGGGCUGAACAGAGGCUAAGGGUUUGAUGGCAGCUAACUGUUCCCUGACAGAUGUCAGCUUUGCCUGUCUGUCUCUCUUAACGUGUUUGUAGCUGUGCAGCAGGCUGACAGCCUCUGGCAUUCUCUUUCUGCCUGGGUCCUCCCAAAUGCACCCAAAAUCCCAGCCAUGCCGCUUGAUCACCACAGGCCUGCCUGAUGACAACAGGCUGUGGUGAUUUUAUUUGUCAUCUUUAGAGCAUGUGUAGCAGUAUUUCUUUCCCAGAGGCAUCAGAUGUUUGUCCUGCAGACAUGUUUUCCAGGAGAAAAGGCUAAUAGAUGAGGGCAGGCUGUAUUUCCUGGCUGUCCCAAUCCUCUGGAGACUUCCUGGUCAUUGGCAUCCCCCAGAAGGACAUGCACCACGGUGGCUGCAGACUCUAGGUGGUGCUGCCCCAAGCUCUGUAACCUAGAGUGUCCGACAUCAGUUGCAGCCUGGCCUGGGUUUGGGUUAUUUUAAGCUGCCCCUGCAAUGCAGCUGCAAAUCCAGAAAAAGAGGACUGAGGGGCCUGCUCAUCAGGGAAGAGCUCGGUAAGCACACGUUGUCACUGGCUUAGAGAGCAGGGAGACAAUGUAAUUACAGUCAUUCCAAGAGGUUCAUUCUGCUGCAUUGCCUGUUUCAGGAGCACCCCUCCCUUUCCUUUGGUGCCCAUACUAUUUUUUAAAAACCUUCCUGGUAAAUUUCAAAAUGCCACUGGUAAAAGCAAACUGCCUCACUUAGCUCCUUGGUUAUUUGUUUAAAAUUCAGUGUAUCUCAGUAGAAUUUUUUUAUGGAAGGGAUUGAAGCCCCUGACCCUGCCCUUUGGGGGAAGGGGAUGUCCAAGAGUAGGGGGAGGAGCUUUCACCUUCAACCCAAGGACCUCAACUGCAUUCCACAUGAAGCAUUAGCUUUAGGACAGCAUGAGCACAGACCAAACCCUGAGAAUGCAGUUUGCCCACUCAUCUAUUUAUUAAUUUGGUGUGUGAAUUAACAGGCUUUGUCCAGAAAGAGGAAGUGGUGAAGCUGUGAAAUUGCUUUCCUUGGAAAGCUUUGUUUAGUGGACCCGUAUUAGUCCUGAAUGGCAGGCAGAAUCCUGGGUUCACAAGUGUUAAUUUUCCAACUCUGAAGCUCCUUCUAUUGCCAUUUCCAUCUGUCUAACUUUUCAGAUUCCUAAGUAUUUUUCUGCUUCAUUCAUGUAUGUAUUCAUCAUCCAUUCAGUGAGCUUUCAUUAAAUGUGAACUGUGUGCCAGGACUGCACUGGACAUGGGGGCCACUGUCCCUGCCCUUGAGCUUCCAAGACCGUGAUGGGCGGAUGAGUAGGGGUCAGUGGGCAGACACCGAGGUCAGUGCCACUGGUAGCCCACAUGUCUGGGGCAUGUGGAGCUGUGGAGCAUCACCUACUGGGUCUAGGGGCUGGCGAGGCUUUUUGGAGUUGUCCUAGAGAAACAAGUUGGCAAUGAUUAGGGAGGAAGUUUAGUGAAAGAAAGAGAAAGACAUUUCGAGGGAAAUUGGGAAAAUGUGGCCAAAGGGUGUACCUGUAACCCUCUCUCCAGUCCGCCACAGCUUUUAGUAAGAGAUCAGUUUCCCAAGAGUGUACUGUGGGCUGGGAGCUCUGUGGAAGAUGUGCCAGGCAUGGCUCGGGUGCUCCUGAGGCUGCUGCCCCCACGUGACAUGGAGAAGGCUGUUUGCAGAACAGCCACAGGUAGCAGCACAAAGAACAAGCGUGAAUGGGAAACAGAUCCCAGGAGCUCUGCCUCCCUCUCAUGUGUCCAUUCGCUUCUCAAUAGUUACCGAAUACCUGCUGCACGCACUGUCCUGGGGACUGGGAAAACAGGGAAAACCGCCGCGUCUUGGCCCUUUUGGACCUUUACAUAAUGAUCAGCAAAUAGAUGAAUCUGUGGUAUGUCAGACUGUGAUGGAGGAAGACAGCUGUGGAGAAAGACAAAGGAAGGAAAUAAGAUAGAGCCUGCAAGGCUAAGGUGAGGGUGGGAGGUGCCACGCUGACAGGUAACAUUCAAACAAAUCCUUGAGGGAGUGGCCAUGUGGGUACCUGAAGUAAGGAUGGUCCAGGCAGAGGAAACAAGCGGGAAAGCCCUGAGGCAGCAGUGGGCUUGUUGUGUUCAGGGAAAGGCAAGGAAAGGAAGGCAGAAGCAGAGUAGUGGGAGGGAGCGGGUCAGAGAGGAGGAGAGGGAGCUGGGGCCAGUGCAUGGAGGGCCGGGAGGCUCUAUCUCGAGUAAGUUUAGAAGCUAGUGGAGGCUGCGGACUGGGGAGUGGCAGAUGUGACCCGUUUCAAUGUGAACACCCACUAUCAGGUCGGCGUGGGCCCAGGCUUAGAGCAGUGAACUGGUGCCUAACAAAAACAAAAAACAAAAAAACAAAAAAACAGUCUCCAGAAACCAAUUAAGCAAAAAUGUUUAUAGAACAUCCAGUACAUGAAGGACAUAUUCCUGGGUAGUUGGUUCCUUUCCUGAAGGAGCGAGCUUUCCGGAUGGGUUGAAACAUGUGCAUGCGCGGGAGGUGACGGCUCACUGCAGGGCAGGGCGCCAUCCGUGUUGAAGGAGUGCCAGUGUUUCAGAAAUGGACGCAGAGCAGGUCCAUUUGAUGGACGGGUAAGCGGAGCACUCUCUGUGUGCCCGCACUGUUUUAAGUGCCCAGGGUCUUCUGGGGAUGAGAUUUGUGUUUUUCACUCGUGUGUGGGACAGUUGAGGAUCAUGUUAGGCAGAUGUGAGCCCUUUCCUGGAAGGAGUUAAUCUAAAAAGCAUAAUCUGCCUCAUUUGGGAGGAGCUUAAUAAAUAUCUCUUCAAAUGAAGCAGUGGUCAAUCAGAAAAUUUAUAUUUUAGCUAUAGAAUUACCUAUCACAGUUUACCAUGGGGCAUAAUCUUAGUCAAGCACCCAAAUUAAUGAUUUCAGACCACAGAUAACUGAAAACACCAAAGUGAUAAGGUGGCAGGUAUUUCAGUUAGCUACUGCUGCAUAAUGAAUGACCCCAAAGCUUAGUGACUUAAAACAAUGAUUUGUUAUUGCUUAUCAUUCUGUCAGCUGGGAGUUUCUUCUGCUGGCCUCACUUGGGCUCAUGCACAAGGCUACAUUUAGCUAGGGUGUCAGCUUGGGGAUGGGCAUAGCUGAGAUGCUGGGUCACCUGAGUCUUUCUCUGCAUGUGGUAUUGUUUUAAAAUACAGGUUUUAGCGCUGCCUCAGGAUAUAGAGCGUAACAAGGGGACUGGGGUGAGCAGCGUGGACCUGUGAGGCCUGUGGGUGCCCGCAUCCUCCAGAUCCCCCCGCAGCCGACUCCGCAGUGGUCCGCUCCGGUUGCCUGGUGCAGAUUUGUGUUCCAAACGGAAGGCUGCGGAUUCUCUGCCCGUUAUUGUGGCCCCGACAGGCUAUGGUUACUUUGGCCACCGCCAGAGCAGCCUUGGCACUAUGGAGGAGCCCGGGGCUACCCCUCAGCCUUACUGGGGGCUGCUCCUGGAGGAGCCACGCAGGGUUAUGGCAGCACUGCCUGAAGGCAGGAGACCAGAUUCGACUCCUUAUGGUUUUCCAUGGGAAUUGGUGAUAUGUGCAGCUGUCGUUGGAUUUUUUGCUGUUCCCUUUUUCUUGUGGAGAAGUUUUAGAUGGUUAAUGAGUCGGCUUUAUGCGGUAAGAGAGAAAACCCUUGCUGAGGCGCUUUCUGGACUAAUUGAAGAAAAAUGUAGAUUACUUGAAAAUUUAGCCGUGUUCAAAAAAGAGUAUAUGCGAAGCCUAUGAAUUAGGAGUCAUCUUUAGAGGAUGCCCCCUCUGAGAAGGAGGCAACAGAAGAACCAAAAUUUGGAGGCCACCUGUGAAAAGCUGAACAGGUCCAAUUCCUGAACUUGGACAUGAAAUACUCUGUCUAGAAAAGGAUAAAAGAAGAUCUAAAAUUCUAAACAACGAUGAAUGAUGGCGGAUUAUUCCAAAAGGAUACAGUCUCUAGAAGAUGAGUCAAAAUUCCUCAAAUCCCAAGUAGCUGAAGCCAAAAUGACCUUGAAGAGAUUUCAAAUGAAUGAAGAACGACUGAAGAUAGCAAUACAAGAUGCUUUGAAUGAAAAUUGUCAACUUCAGGAAAGCCAGAAACAGCUUUUGCAAGAAGCUGAAGUAUGGAAAGAACAAGUGAGUGAACUUAAUAAACAGAAAAUAACAUUUGAAGACUCCAAAGUACACGCAGAACAAGUUCUAAAUGAUAAAGAAAAUCACAUCGAGACUCUGACUGAACACUUGCUACAGAUCAAAGAUUGGGCUGCUAUGCUGGAAGAAGACAUAACAGAUGAUGGUAACUUGGAAUUAGAAAUGAACAGUGAAUCAGAAGGUGGUGCUUACUUAGAUAAUCCUCCGAAAGGAGCUUUGAAGAAACUGAUUCAUGCAGCUAAGUUAAAUACUUCGUUAACAACCUUAGAAGGAGAAAGAAACCAAAUUUAUAUUCAGUUAUCUGAAGUUGAUGAAACCAAGAAGGAGCUCAGAGGGCAUAUUAAAAACCUUCAGACGGAACAAGCAUCUUUGCAGUCGGAAAACACACACUUUGAAAGUGAGAAUCAGAAACUUCAAGAGAAAGUUAAAGUAAUGACUGAAUUAUAUCAAGAAAAUGCAAUGAAACUCUACAGGAAAUUAGUAGUAGAGGAAAAUAACCGGUCAGAGAAUGAGAAACUUUCUAAAGUAGAUGAAACGAUCAGCCAUGGCACUGGAGAGCUGGAGACCUGCAGAAAGCGAGCCAAAGAUCUGGAAGAACAAUUUGAGAGAGUUCUUCAUUUUUAUCAAGGGAAGAUUAUUUCCUAUAAGAAAAAGGUAGAUGGUAAUUGUUUGGCAGCUUGGAUUGCUGAAAGAAACCUCAAUGAUUUAAGGAAAGAAAAUGCUCACAACAGACAAAAAUUAGCUGAAACAGAGUUUAAAAUGAAACUUUUAGAAAAAGAUCCUUAUGCACUUGAUGUUCCAAAUACAGCAUUUGGCAGACAGCAUUCCUCAUAUGGUCUCUCUCCACUGGGUCGGCCUUCAUCUGAAACGAGAGCUUUUCUCUGUCCUCCAGCUUUGUCGGAGGGUCCACGGAGACUCUCACCUUCGCUUCCAAUGGGAGGAGGAAGAGGCCUAAGAGGCCCAGGGAAUCCUCUGGACCAUCAGAUUACCAAUGAAAGAGGAGAAUCAAGCUGUGAGAGGUUAACCAGUCCUCAUAGGGCUCCUUCUGACACUGGGCCCCUGUCGCCUCUGUGGGAACAGGACCGUAGGAUGAUGUUUCCUCCACCAGGACAAUCAUAUCCUGAUUCAGCUCUUCCUCCACAAAGGCAAGACACAUUUUAUUCUAAUUCUGCUAGACGCUCUGGACCAGCAGAACUCGGAAGUUUUAAUAUGCCUUCUUCGGAUAAAAUGGAUGGGUCAAUGCCUUCAGAAAUGGAAUCUAGUAGAAAUGAUACCAAAGAUAAUCUUGGUAAUUUAAAUGUGCCUGAUUCAUCUCUCCCCGCUGAAAAUGAAGCAACUGGACCUGGAUUUGUUCCUCCACCUCUCGCUCCAAUCAGAGGUCCAUUGUUGCCAGUGGAUAUGAGGGGCCCAUUCAUGAGAAGAGGACCUCCUUUCCCUCCACCUCCUCCAGGAACCAUGUUUGGAGCUUCUCCAGAUUAUUUUCCACCAAGGGAUGUCCCAGGUCCACCACGUGCUCCAUUUGCAAUGAGAAAUGUCUAUCCACCGAGGGGUUUUCCUCCUUACCUUCCCCCAAGACCUGGAUUUUGCCCCCCCACCCCCACAUUCUGAAGAUAGAGCGAGUUCCCUUCAGGGUUGAGUCUGCCUUCAAAUGAGCCUGCUACUGAAAAUCCAGAACCACGGCAAGAAAACUGACAAUAUUUUUGCUCUCUUCAAAAGUCAUUUUGACUGUUCUCAUUUUCAGUUGAAGUAACUGCUGUUACUUCAAUGAUUACACUUUGCUCAAGUUGAAACUUAAUGGAAUUAUAAUUCUCAGGAUAGUAGUUUGUAAAUAAGGAUGAUUUAAAUAUGAAUCUUAUGAGUAAAUUAUUUCCAUUUUAUUUUAUUCUAGAUAGUAUAACUAUUUUAACUUGAUUAAUCCACUAUUAUCUAAACAAUAGUGGGAGUUUUAUAUAUGUAAUCUUGCAGGUGGGGAGGUUUUAAAUUCUAAAGGCCUUGUCCUUAUUCCAAGAACUGUAUUUACUGUAGUUGUAGACAAAUGUGAAAGUAACUUUAUGCUUAAUUAAAUAAAUUUUAGUUGAUUUAAAAAUAUAUAUAGGUUGCAUUAUUCUUCAGGUACGGAGAGACCGACAGAUCAAGGGUCGAUUGCCACUGAAAAGAGAGUUUGUUACUCACAGAUCCGAGAGAAGGGAAAGUGCUGUGCCAUGCAGCACCAAAUAGGGAGACACUAUGGUCAGCGAGAAGGCAGGAGUGAUGGAAAAACAUGAGCAGAGCUUUUAUGGUGGUUUCCACGGGAAGGAGUGAGUGAGGCAAAGUGAGCAGGGUUAAGGUUAGCUAUUAUAGUUUGAGUAAUUUCAGCAGGCUCUGGGUAUAGGGGCUGUCCCUAGUUGUCUGAUACCUGGCCCUGGGGUGCUUGGGGCAGAGGAACAGUGGCCUAGAGUGUGUGAGUCCUGUGGAAGGCUGAUGAAGUAGGUAGCUGGGGGCAUGAGCUCUGGACUGGUUAGUUUGUGUUUGAAAAGCACGCUCAUGGGCAAGUUUACUGUCUGUAGGAAUUGGCUAACCCUGAGAGGGACAGACCUGCCAAGGUCACCAAGACCCUAGAUGUCGAAGCGUCAGAAUACAUAAAAAGACAUGGUUAAUAUGGUAUCAGAGCCUCUGUCUUCAUGUGGCCUCUCAUGAAGGGCUCUAGAGUGAGCUCCCUUAAGGGAUGUCAAAGGCUGUUCAAGACAGCAGAAGCCACAAGGCCACGUAAAGCCUCAGCUUGGAAGUUACGCAACAGCACUUCUGCUGCAUCCCUUGGGUCAAAGCAAGUCACAGAUGCACCCCAGAUCCCUGCUCAUGUCGAGAGGAGAGAGGAACAUUAACCAUGGGAGGGGAGGGUCAUUACAGUUGUUUUUGCAAACAACCUGCUACAGAAAGUGUGGCUUCAGAGCACUGCGAAGGCCUUUCUGAACAGACCAGAUCCAACAGGAAGAGCAGAAAGAAGCUGGGUUCCAGCUAGUUUGUCUUUGCUAGUGUGGAGUCAGGGUAUAGCUUCCCUUUCACUGUUGGUCCCCAGCAUCAAGGGUCAGUUGGGUGUUUGCCUGGGAGCCUGCAGGGACUGUUUGUACUUUUAGAGGAGGGUUGGCAUGGCUUUGGGUUGCUGUCUCCGAAACUGCCCCAGGGCCUGGGAUCCCAGGGAGUGCCUGCCUGGGCUGGCAGGGAGCCCAGGCCUGUUUGUAAACUGUUUGAAUGUCUCAGGGUCAGGGUCUCUCAUGGGCAUAUUAUUUUCUUAUCAGGAGUUAAAAUAACUCUAGAACUUCUCCCAUAGAAAUGCAGAUGCUUUAUUAUCAUGAAAGUACCCUUUGUAACGCAUAUGGAAUUAGGCCAGUAACAACCAACAUUUGCUCCACACUUUAGGGCCCAUGAAGCACUUUCUCAUAUGUUCUUCCUUGUUCUCGCAGUCACCUGUGGUUAGGCCUCAUUGUCCUAGUUUUUCAUAUGAGAACACUGAAGCUCUAGUGGGGCUCAAAAUUGGCUUGGGGACUUAGGAGUUGCCCUGGGCCCAAGGGUGGAGCUAUGGGAGCCCUACAAAGCCUGCCCCGUUUCAUGCCAUCGCUUCAGUGAAUCUCUUCUCUCCCCCAUACCUGCUCAUUCUGUGUGGCUGCACUCAUUAGAUUAUUUCACCCUUUGAAUUAGAUGCCUCAGGGAGUCCCCUGAGCGGGCUAAGUUAACCUUUGCAGGGGGUACUGACACCCCCAGGUACAGCCCAGCCCUGCAUGCUGCUUUUUGCUCCAGGGACCCCAGCCUGGUCCACUAUUUGCUGGGAGAAGAUUUCAGUCCCUCCAGAACACACAGCCUUUGAGGAGCCACAGCUCCCAGAGCCCGAGCCCCAAGUCACCACUGGGUGCAGUGCACGCUCCUCUGCUCUGCAGUGGUGGAGCUUCAUCCUGGUGAGUCAUUAGUUCUGUGUCUACAGGUGUCUCAGCGAGACGCCUACCUGUCUGCUUCACAGCCCCAGGUGAAGCCGUCAUUCUCAAUCCGGCUGGGGAAGAGAAGGCAACAUCACAGCUGAGUUCCUCUCCAACAUAGAACCACGGGGCAUUGUCCUCAGACACACGCUAAUAUGAACCCAGGCUAAUGAGGCAGAACCUCUCAAAAUAGCAAUAACACCUUGGAAACCAAGGUGUAGUUUUUUAAAUGCCACGUGGCCCUCGAUCACAUUUUGCAUUUCCUAGCACUUAUUCUACCAUUUUUACAGGGACCUGUGGCAGGCAGAGGGGCUCGGGGCAGCUUCCCUGCAGGAUUCCACUUCCUGCUUGGGUCGACCCUGCUGCUGCGAGGGAGGGCUUGCCCCUCGCCUCCCUGCUCUCUGGGUGUUUCCUUUGUGAAGGGAGGGACCUGGCCUGCUAGAAAACAUCUCAAAGCCCUGUCACAGAGGAACUCCAGCUUCCCUUAGGAUGCUCUGAAGAAGGUGCUUUCCAAAUGAGAGGGCCUCAGGAGGGCAGUGGUACCUCCCUGACUGGGUGAGUCAGGUGCGACUCUAGCCAAGGUGAGUGGGGCCUGCUGUGUCCGAGGUGGUGAAAGCAGGCACUGAGACUGCUCCGGAAUCAUGGCUCUCUGAGGUUGUUGCUCUGAAGUCCUGCCUCUGGGCCCUCGUCCAGUGUCGUGACAGCUCUUUUCUCUGGAAGAGGACAGUCUCUCUCCCUGCACGAACUGCUUUCAGCCUGACAUUUCUUCUCCUGCUUAGGGCCGUUCUCUGUGGACUGCUUCGUGGUGUCUGCUGUUUUUCUUAGCUCAGUGCUUCUCAAUGAGGGUGCUUUUGACCUCCCACGGGGGCAUUUGGUAAUGUCCAGAGAUAUUUUACACAGUAACUACUGGAGGUGUGCUACUGGCAUCGAGUAGAGGCCAGGGAUGCUGCUAAACACCCCACAACACGCAGGACAGAUCCCCACACACCCCCACAGCAAUUCUCUAUUCCAAAAUGUAGUACUAAUUAGGUUAAGAAACCCUGCUAAUGAUGAUGUUCCCCUACCUGGUAAAUAAAAUUCAAGGUUCUCAGCCUCCAGAUCAGUACAAAAUGGAUGUUUCUUGACUGAAAUGCUUGGAGCCAGAAGUGUUUUAAAUUUAGGAUUUUGGAAAAUUUGCAUUAUAUUUACUGGUUGAGCGUUCCCAACCUGAAAAUCUGAAAUCGAAAAUGCUCCCAUGAGCAUUUCCUUUGAGCAUGACCUUUGAGCAUCAUGUUGAUACUCAAAAAGUUGCAGAAUUUGGAGUAUUUCAGAUUUUUGGAUUGUUCAACCUGUACUUUUCACAGUAUCUUGAAAACGGACCAUGCUUAUCUUUCCUCUUUUGAUCUAGAGCCUCCUUCUUUUCCACGCCCAUACCGCGAAUUCCUAUUCAAGCCCAGAGAAAAGUAUUCAUUACUACUAUGCGUUAGCUACUGAAGGCCAGGUGAUGUUUUCCCAUAUCUAACUCGUCAUGAUCAUGAUCAUCAUUAUCAUCAUCAUCAUCCUCAUCAACAAUUACCUUAGGGUCAUCAUAAGAAUUGCAUAUAAGCCAGUCACCAAGCAGUCGUCAGUCAUCUGCCUUUAGCCCAGUGCUACCUGAAUUCAGUUUCUGUCAUCAUGUAUUUCUUAAUUUCAAAAUAGGCAGCAGCAUUAAAUCUGGUCCAUGGGCUCAUUAACAUCAUCAUCAUCAUCAUCAUCACCACCACCACCACCACCGCCAUCAUUGUCAUCAUCAUUGCAAACCAGGCAACAAGCAGUCAUUAAGCUCAUGCUGAUUCUGGUGCUGAUGGUGAAUGAGAAGCAGCGCCUGCAGAAAACCACCUCAUUCCUAGCAUCCCAGGGCCACAGGUGCUCUGUGUUAGGUUGAGUGUUCACUUGUCCAGUGUGAAUGUAUUUUUGUUAAGAGUUAUUGGCAUCUGAGUUUCUGGUGACCAGGUGCUUCUUUCUAAACACAAACACACACACACACACGUGGAAGACUGUUGGAGAAACCUAAAUGGUGUCAUAGGAGGCAGGUGGGAGAAGACGCUUUGGUUGCUCAACCAGGUAUGAUUCUGCCAGACAAAAGACCCUAUAGGUUCUCUUUUCUGCCCCACCACUGCCUCAUUAUGGCUAUGAUAGGUUUAUUGAAGCUAAAGCUUGGGCAUUCUGGGGCAGCCUUUGCCCCACACCCACACGAGUCUUUUUCCUUUUUCAAUUGCCAUUGAAGUCUGGAAAUAGCACUCUGCCUUUUCCUCUGGCCCCAUGGAAACUGGGACUUCUGGGUGUUUAACUUAGCAUCUGACUCCAUUAGAUGCUCAGGGCUUCCUGCACUUACACCUAGAGAUUGGGAAAAGGAGUGUUCUGGGGAAAGCAGGGGGGACCAGUUUGCUGUCUAUUUGGUGGCUUUCCCUGUACAGUGGAGAGAGCAGCCAGAACCUGAAGUGACAUCUGAGACAUUGUCAUCUGACGUAGAGUCUCUCUUCCCUCCCUGACCUCGUUCCUGUGCCGCCUCUCCCUCCCUCCCACUUCCAACAGUGCACUUAGGAAUGAGUUAUGAAGUGUCUUAUUGGAAAGCAAGACUUGAAUAGCAAUGAAGGGCAGACACUAUAGUUAGUUAUUAUUGAUCAUCUCUACCUGCACUUUCUAUAUUUGCAAGCACUUUUCGGGACUUAGUGAGUAAUAAAUAAAGUGUCUCUAGAUCACCUUGCUGCUUCCCACUGCUGCUGCCUCGUGUAUGCAGUUCUAGUUGUGUACCCACUGGAUACACACACUAAGGAGGUGAGACCUUCGAAAGAAAUGCAAAAUAUUUCCACAAUUGUGUUGGUGUACAAACUGACCUGUCAAAACCAAAACUAAAUUUAGGUAGAUUAUAAUCAACACCCCCAGUGGAUGUUAUCGGUGCCUUGUCCAGGGCCCCUUUACCAGGCGGAGGCACUCAUCUCCCAACUUUGAGUAUUGCUCACAGCAGCUGCCUGCUUCCUGAAGAACUGCCCUUGGCAGAGCAGAAGCCACCAUGCUAGGAAGUUAUCCACUCCCUCGGCAUCCCAUAGCCAAUAACUGAUUGCCAUCAGGGCUGUGUUCGUUAUCUGUUUCUCAAAAUAAAUUACUCCAAAACUUAGUGCCUUAAACGGACAAUGAAUAUUUGUUAUUUCACAAUCCUUGUGGGUCAGGGAUUUGGGAGCAGCUUAGCAGAGUGAUUCCAGUUUGGGUUCCUCAGGAGGUUGCCCACAGACUGUCCAUCAGGGCUGCAAGUGACCUGCAGGCUUGACUGAGGCAGGUGGCCCUGCCUCUGGGGUGGCUCACUGGCCUGACUGGCAAGGUGGGGCCGGUUGUUGGCAGAAUGCUCAGUCCCUCUAACCAUGGGACUCUCCCAAGUUCAGCUUCUAGAGUAGCUUAUGAUAAUAUACUUUCUCUAACACCUAUAUUCUAAAAGAUAUUUCAUAAAAUAACCUUCCUCUAAUUUUGAAAUCUGCAACAUUUCAGCAGGUCGUUUUAGACAUUCAGAGGCUGAACAUUUUAGAUUCUGGUUCUGAAGGCAUGUGGGUGCCCUCAGCGUCAAUAGCAGCAGCUAAUAUUUCCCAAAGCUUUUCCAUGCACCAGGCUAUGAGAAGGGCAAAAAGUGUUGUGAUUCUGUUGAAGCAAUGCCCACUACCCCUUCAGUCCCACCUUGAAAAUGUGACAAGGCAACUGGGAAACUAUCUUCAACGUCAGUGCUUUUUUCAUUUUGCUUCUCUUGAUUUUUACAUCUUAUAAAACUGAGACUCCACCUAUAUUUGUUCUUUCAUCCAAUGCACGUUGGCUUCUGACCUCACCCCUGAAACGGCUUUUCCAGAGGUCUGCAGUAACCUCCUGAGACCACAUCCCAAGUGAUUCUUUUCAGUUUUUUUAUUACGUGACCUUUCCAUGGAGCUUGACCUCAGUGAAUAACUUCUCUUCUUGAAUCUCCUCCUUCUUGAAACUCUUCUGUCUUGGAUUUCGAACUUGGAUGACAGAGUGAGAAAGGCCUGGCAUGUUUGCUCUGGACUGGGUAACCCAAUGGAGCUAUGUGGAUUUUCUGCACAAAUUUGGGAUGUAAACACACCCAGUGGGGCUUCUGCCCAGAAGAUUGUAGCUAGGCUCGGCUGGAGGUAGGGAAAGCAGGGAGGAGGCUAUGUGUUGGUGGGAGGAGGCUGAUAGAGCCUGAACCAGGGGAGGCAGUGAGCCUUAGGAGAGAGCAGAUAGAUUCUAGAUACUUAGGAGAGCCACUGUCACAGAGCUUUGUAAAGGGACUUUGGAUGGAGUGGGCACUGGGGGAGGACAGAAAGGAAAAUAGAGGCGCUGAAGAUGUGUCCAGGCUUCUCCGGGGGUAGUUAGUAAUGCCAUUGACACAAGUCAACUGAUGUAUUUCUGUGUUUUUGCUGAGUUCUUCUUCGUUUUUGACUUUUCUUGGGUACAUGAAUUUCCAGAAGUAUCUGUUCCAGGGGCAACUGACAACUGAGAGGGGUGUGAG